GGGACUGCAAGCCGAGGCGCCAUCAACCUCGUUAAUCAGGUGGCAAAGAAAGUACCUGACGACAAUCAGUACGCACUAGCCGCUUAAUACCGGCUACGUCUCCCGGUUCCUACUCCCGAGGGGGCUGACGAGGCGACGAAAAUCGGGAUGCUGUUUCGGUGACGCCGAUGCCCGGGACAAAAGACCAUCGGCUAGCCCUGAGCGCCGUCUCUGCCGGUGCGGAGGCGCCGGGGUGACCUUAAGCAUCGGCUAAGCUUGUAGAUGUCUUGGUCGGAGAGUCUUCUGGACGGGGAGUUCGACCCUCCCCCGUCUCCACCA
rnacentral:tmRNA from 1 species